rnacentral:lncRNA from 1 species
GUCUUCCCUUUCUAAUAUCCUGGUGUCGAGCUGGUUCCAUUGCUUCUUGGAGUUGAGAAACUCUCCUGGCAAAAAGUCUACCUGAAGAGCAAAAUGGUGGGGUUUUACCCUGGAAUUCCAACACCAUUCCCACUCCACAAAAGGACACUGAAACAAAGUUCUGCUGAGCCGUCCGUCUUGCUUCUGUGGGAGGGAGCGGAGCAAGUUUGAUCGCUCUGGUUUCUAAACUAGUCUUAUGCUUUCUUCCAGUUCUGCUGUUCUCCAUCUCUAGGUUUUGACAGUGCCUCAGAACCCGUGAGCAUCUGUGUUUUUUCCUUUCAAGAUGCCAUUUACAGACUUUGUUCUGGCCCUCAAAGACAAUCCCUACUUUGGGGCUGGAUUUGGGCUGGUAGGUGUGGGUACAGCUCUGGCUAUGGCCCGGAAAGGAGCCCAGUUGGGUCUAGUGGCAUUCCGUCGCCAUUACAUGAUCACACUGGAAGUCCCUGCUAGAGACAGAAGCUAUGCCUGGUUGCUUAGCUGG